AGGAAGCUGAUGCUCCUACUACUACAGAGAGGAAGUUAGUGUGCCAAAACCCUUUCCUAUUCCUGCUAUUUUACUUGGAUUAUUAAAUGGCUGCCCCAUCUUUAGACAGACAGAAGGCAUGGUAGUGCUCUUUAGGUUUAAAGGCUGAGGGGAUGGGCCCUUACAAAUGAGGCAGUCUUCUAUCAGUCACCUCUUCUCAAAGCACGGUGCAAAGGUGUAUGGUGGGACUUGCUGCAUGACAUGGUGUCUGCACCUGGUCAGACAAGUUUUGUCAGAUGGAGGAGGAUGUGCCCAUCAUCCAGGGCAAAGUCUCUUGUGGGAGGAAAUGUAGUAUUUAGUGACUCACUUCGUAAGGUUAGACACUUUGCUUUUCCCUCCGCAUAGUUAGUCCUUGCCCAUCCUCCGUCAUCAGGAAACAUGAUCCGUCUUCAGCCUGGUGCAGAGCGGGAAGUAGUGCCUCUUGUCAGCAGAGUGACCUCGCUGCCCCGGCUGCCUGUCAGCGGGGCCGCACGUACACCUGAGCCCAGCGCGGAGCGGCGGCCGGCGGCGGGCUGUGCUUUCAGCGCUGCGCCCGUGCCUCCUGUGCCUGCGCACCCCCGAGGAGCCCGGCAGCUGCGCGUCCUCCCCGGCACGCCCGAGGUGCGUCCGCGCCACUGCCGCCGUCGGGCGACCCCGCCGUGCCGUUCACACAGCGGGGCCGGGCACCGUGUCUCCUGCGAUGGCAGCCGGCUCGGGAGCGCGCACCGCUCUGCCAGGGGGCGGCUCCCGAUCCCUGCGGCACCGGCGCGGGAUCGCGGGUCUCCGCCUGCUGAAUGCGCAUGCGCGUGCCCGCCCCGCUCUCGCGAUACUUUCCUGGCGUUGACGGCGCGCGCCGGAAGGGCUGCGGUGCGCGCGCGCGCCGGCCGUGCCCGCGGGCGCUGGAGGGCGCGGGGCAUGUCGGCCACGUGCGCCGUGUCCCGGAAAGCGGCGCUGCCAAGGCCGCGUCCCCAGGGCGAGAGGGAGCCGCCCGCAAAGGUGAUGCGCAGGGGGCUGCGGCGAGGCAGAGAGGAGGAGCGGGAGCAGCUGCCGUGGCCGGGAGAGAGCGCGAGCGGCAUGGGCGCGGAGGCCGAGGCGGAGCGGGCGGCCCCGCUGAGCGACGAGCGGCGGAGGCGGCAGCUUUUAGAGCCGAAGGCGCUGACGACGUCGUCGGCCAGGGCGGUGGAGGAGGAGGAACGUCUGGAGCGGGAGCAUUUUCGGAGGAUCAUCAACGCUUUCCGAUAUUACGGAACGAAUAUGCAUGAACGAGUGAACAGAACAGAGAGACAGUUUAAGUCUCUCCCAGCUAACCAGCAGAGUCUUCUUCCUCAAUUUCUCCCUCACCUUGACAAGAUUCGGAAGUGCAUCGAUCAUAAUCAAGAAAUACUACAAACCAUUGUGAAUGACUGUGUUCAUAUGUUUGAAAAUAAGGAAUAUGGAGAAGAUGGAAGUGGGAAGAUUACACCAGCUUCAACAUUUGACAUGGAUAAAUUAAAGUCCACGUUGAAACAAUUUGUGAGAGACUGGAGUGAGGAGGGAAAGUCUGAGAGGGAUUCCUGCUACCAGCCAAUUAUUAGUGAAAUUAUAAAGAACUUUCCUAAAGAAAGAUGCCAUUUCUGUUGUAUUUUUGUACUUCAGGUCCUCUCCUUUACCAUUUUGAAAACUUGGGAAAUGAACUCUCCAUAGAAUUAAGCUACGAGGAUAUAAAAAAUGUUAUCCUGCAAUAUGGAUUCCAUAUAGAGGUGGAGAAAGAAUCUGUACUGUCAACUUACACUGUGAAUGAACUCUCCAUGAUGAAAUACUACUAUGAAUGUGUGUUGUUUGUGGUGAGAAAACCAGAAUAGUAGUGGUUUGAAUAGGGUAAUGAGAAAAUAAUAUUCGCUUGAAAGCUAGAAAUGAGAAUAAAAUCAUCUGGUGAUGUAUGGACACAACCUCAAAUCAGUGGUGCCUUCUUGUUCCUAAGAGGAUAUAGAUAGUGUCUAUUUUCUUAUAUCUAUUGCUAUUCAAACAUAUACUAUGCCAUGGAUAUUUGUAAUACACUUGUGAAAGAUUAAAUGUUCAUAUGCACUGUCUUUGUGCUUAGGAAUGCAUUAAAUAUAAAAGCAAAAGUGUUUUCUUGAGAACAAAAUUUAAUGUUCGCCAUAACUAGGCUAAUUCUCUGCUAAUGCUGCCUCAUUUUUCAUAGAUUUAUAGUGAUUUUUUUUCCUACUUGAUGUUAGGGGAAUGCAUGGAGGUGCUUACUGUACUAGCUGUAUCACUUUUAGAGAAGUAUUUGUAAAUGUAUACUUAAAUUAUGAAGUCUGAAAUGGUUGGGAAGUCAUAAAAUUAUUCUUGAACAGGUAAAUUAGUCAUCAGAACUGUUAGAGCAUUUCCUGUGCAACUGAAGUAAAAUAGGAUAUUAUACAAAUUCUGAUCUUUGGCUGUACCACUGUUAAAUCAAAAACCAGAACCACAGGAAAUUAGAAAUGCUACAUUGAAAGCAGAAUACAGAGUGAAGAAAAAGCGACUAUCAAAGAGAAGCAGACUGUCACAGAGCAGCAGUAUGUUACACUCCGUUGAGGAAAGCACCGGUCCUGAUUGAUCUUAGUGUUGGAACUGAAAUGUGUUAAAUGCUUUGCCUUCUUGAAAUAACACUGAUUUUGCAUCAUCUUCUUAGUGUUUAAGCCAGAACUUUUAAACUCAAUAAACACAGCUGAGUUAUCCAUGCCACAUGUAGGUAGUACAACAUAAAAAUACCUGUCAGAGCAGUGAAGUUACAUGUAAAUAUGUGCUAUAACCUAAUUACUUCCAUCUGAGCCAGGAUAUGCAGGCCAAAUAGUAGACAAUUUCCUUGUAACUUCACUUUACCCUUGUGGCUUCUUGGUUCCCCCUAUUAAUGUGGUUUUUUUCCCUAACAGAUGUGGCUUAGGUGAAUAUUUAAUCUACAAGUCAUGGUACUAUACAAGAGGCUGUCAUGUCACAUACAAUCUCAUGUCACUUUGAAGUUAUGUAAGAAAUUACAAAAACCUUAAUUAACAGUCACUACUCUGAGAUGAGGUGUCAUGUUAGGCAUUCUGUUUGCGUAAUAUAUUGAUUACCUUAAGUGCCAUUUGGAUGCAUUUUCAAAAAUAUGUUUAAAAUAUAAAACCAUUAUGAUGAGGGCUGAAUUUUUUCUUUCUUCUUUGGCUAAAAGGACACUGGUCAGUAUGUUAUUUGUUUCUGAUUAUUUUUUGUCCUGUCUUUCAUGGUGGUGUCCUAAUCACAUCUCUUUAAUAGGAUCUGUUCCUGGUUUUUCAAUUUUUCCAGUCAAGGCCAGAAAUUUGUGCCUUUAUUUCUAAAUUGAAAAUCUGCAAGGAAGAAAAACAAACUUUUUAAAAAAUAUUUUAACACUGCGUAAGAGAGCACAUGCUUGUAUGUGUUUCAGUAUUAUGUUCCUUUCAGCUCAGAAUCCUGAUUGAGAACAGAGGCUUUUGCUCUACAGAACAGAAGUUUUUAAGUUUGGCUUAAGCUACUCUUCUUUGAACUCUCUUAUUUCUAAAAGUGCAUGAACUGUCAAAGUUCUACCCUGUUCCAAGGGAGAUGUGUUUAAAGAUUAAAUGCUGAUAUUCAACAAAUAAUUCAAAAAUACAAGUCUUUGUGUGGCUAAAAGUAAAAAACCACAUGCUUUCAUUUCCACAUUGUACCACUUAAUUUUUGAGAAAAUUUGUCUUUUUUGAUUCUUUGCUUUCAUUACACUUUUCUCAUAUUAGGUAGAAUAUGAUUAGUAAUUUAGUUGAUUUUCAAGCUUCUUGAAAUAGGACAGAGGUUAGCUGAAUGUCAGUUAAGCUGAUUCUGAGUAGCAUAUCUGUCUGUAAUACUACCAAGUUACUGCCCCUUACACAGUCUGUAACAUGAAAUGUGCUGUUCUGUUUUUCAAAAAAAAAGCAGUGGAACUAUUUAUGGUUGAGUGUCAGUAUCCUGUGUGCUGGUGGUUUUUUUCAUUACCACUCCAUGUUGUCACAGGUGCCAUUUUUGUAUGUUCUCUGAAAAUAUUUUUACAUAUGGUAUAAUACAAUGAUGUGCUUUUUAUUUCUGACAUAAAAAAUGCUGGGUUUUUUUCUUUUUCCUGAGCAUUCUGCUUUUAAAUUGCAACAGUCACAUAAAGAGUUGGAAGCAAAAUAAUGUUGUGAAUGAGCUGUUAGUGUUUUAUCUUCAGUCCCAUUUAUGAGUUCUUAGAAUUUGCCACUUGUACUGUAAUGCACAGGGGUAAUUGUGCAUUAUAGAAUUUGAUCAUUGUUUUAUUCAGUUUUAUAUGCAGGGGGAAAUGCUCAAGGUGUUCGUCAGUGUCACUCUUAAACUAUACAUGGUAACAAACGUAAAAUAAAAUGCUGCAUAAUCUUCAGUGUAAAAUUUCUUUGUAUGGAGUUUGAUAAAUGUAAAACGUCCUGUAUUUUUUUUAAUGUGUUAUAUUCUAAAACUUGGUUGCCAGGAUGGUAAGAACGGGAAGUUUCAUGUCUCUAUGUGCACUUCCCACAAUUUUCAGUGUGUGUAGUGGACUGGAGUUUUUGGAUAUUAAAGCUUUCUGUAAGGCUUGA